rnacentral:lncRNA from 1 species
GAGGAGGAGCUUGAAUAUAAGAUUGCCCUUGGUUUGUGAAUUGGGGACUUGGUUGAAAUCCUUGCUCUUGUUGAACUUGGAAUAAUCUCUCUUGUGAAUAUCUCCAUGUAUAUUGUCUCCAGAGAUGAUUGAUCACAUAUCUCAAUGCAUCUUUGAUUGCUUUCGGCCAAAUCCUCAACAAGUAACUCUCCUUGUUCGAUAGUGAAAUUUUAAAA